AGGACAAACGCUGGCGGCGUACUUAAGACAUGCAAGUCGAACGGGCGCUUCACCUUCGGGUGGGUGUGCUAGUGGCGGACGGGUGAGUAACGCGUAGGAACCUGUCAUCAAGAGGGGGAUAACGCUGGGAAACCGGCGCUAAUACCGCAUGUGGUCAUGAAAAUGAAGAAAGCAGCAAUGCGCUUGAUGAGGGGCCUGCGUCCGAUUAGCUUGUUGGUGGGGUAAAGGCCUACCAAGGCAUCGAUCGGUAGCUGGUCUGAGAGGAUGGUCAGCCACACUGGGACUGAGACACGGCCCAGACUCCUACGGGAGGCAGCAGUUAGGAAAUUUUCCCAAUGGGCGCAAGCCUGAGGGAGUAACGCCGCGUGGAGGAUGACGGCUUUCGGGUUGUAAACUCCUUUCUGUGGAGAGUAGAAGACGGUACGCAGGAAUAAGCCUCGGCUAACUACGCGCCAGCAGCCGC
rnacentral:rRNA from 1 species